rnacentral:rRNA from 1 species
ACGAACGCUGGCGGCGUGCUUAACACAUGCCAGUCGAACGGAAAGGCCCUGCUUGCAGGGUACUCGAGUGGCGAACGGGUGAGUAACACGUGGGUGAUCUGCCCUGCACUUCGGGAUAAGCCUGGGAAACUGGGUCUAAUACCGGAUAGGAGCCAUUUUUAGUGUGAUGGUUGGAAAGUUUUUUCGGUGUAGGAUGAGCUCGCGGCCUAUCAGCUUGUUGGUGGGGUAAUGGCCUACCAAGGCGGCGACGGGUAGCCGGCCUGAGAGGGUGGACGGCCACAUUGGGACUGAGAUACGGCCCAGACUCCUACGGGAGGCAGCAGUGGGGAAUAUUGCACAAUGGGCGCGAGCCUGAUGCAGCGACGCCGCGUGGGGGAUGACGGCCUUCGGGUUGUAAACUCCUUUCGCUAGGGACGAAGCUUUUUGUGACGGUACCUAGAUAAGAAGCACCGGCUAACUACGUG